rnacentral:rRNA from 1 species
GGUAAGACGAGGGAUCCUAGCGUUGUUCGGAAUUAUUGGGCGUAAAGCGGGUGUAGGUGGCUAUGUAAGUCAAGUGUGAAAGCCUGGNGNNCAACCCCAGAAGUGCAUUUGAUACUGCGUAGNUNGNNNGCUAGAGAGGAUAGUAGAAUUGUUGGUGUAGUGGUGAAAAUACGUAGAUAUCANC